rnacentral:rRNA from 1 species
UUGAAAGGGAAACGAUUGAAGUCAGUCGUACCUGCGGGUAAUCAGCCUUUUGGGCAUGAUUCUGUGGAGCGUGAGGAGUUAAACGCCUUCAUGCCUGCAUAUUCGUGUACUUUGGGUGUACUUGCCUGUGUGGUUAGUUAACAUCAAUUUUGGUUAUCAUAAAAUGGUUGGAGGAAUGUAGCUUCGAUUUCGAUUGAAGUGUUAUAGCCUUCGGCAGAUGUGAUGAUCGGGAUUGAGGAUUGCAACGGAUACCCUUCGGGGCUACCUGUCUGAUUUCUGAUCGUUGCUCUGGUGCCGAAAGCUUGCUUACGGUUAUCAAAGUCGAUGGUCAAUAGGUUAGAAUGGGUUAAAUUCGUUAAGGAUGUUGACGUA